rnacentral:rRNA from 1 species
GUUGUUGGGUAGGGGAGCGUUCUGUAAGCCUGUGAAGGUGGCCUGUGAGGGUUGCUGGAGGUAUCAGAAGUGCGAAUGCUGACAUAAGUAACGAUAAAGCGGGUGAAAAGCCCGCUCGCCGGAAGACCAAGGGUUCCUGUCCAACGUUAAUCGGGGCAGGGUGAGUCGACCCCUAAGGCGAGGCCGAAAGGCGUAGUCGAUGGGAAACGGGUUAAUAUUCCCGUACUUGGUGUUACUGCGAAGGGGGGACGGAGAAGGCUAUGUUGGCCGGGCGACGGUUGUCCCGGUUUAAGCGUGUAGGCUGGUUUUCCAGGCAAAUCCGGAAAAUCAAGGCUGAGGCGUGAUGACGAGGCACUACGGUGCUGAAGCAACAAAUGCCCUGCUUCCAGGAAAAGCCUCUAAGCAUCAGGUAACAUCAAAUCGUACCCCAAACCGACACAGGUGGUCAGGUAGAGAAUACCAAGGCGCUUGAGAGAACUCGGGUGAAGGAACUAGGCAAAAUGGUGCCGUAACUUCGGGAGAAGGCACGCUGACAUGUAGGUGAAGUGAUUUACUCAUGGAGCUGAAGUCAGUCGAAGAUACCAGCUGGCUGCAACUGUUUAUUAAAAACACAGCACUGUGCAAACACGAAAGUGGACGUAUACGGUGUGACGCCUGCCCGGUGCCGGAAGGUUAAUUGAUGGGGUCAGCGCAAGCGAAGCUCCUGAUCGAAGCCCCGGUAAACGGCGGCCGUAACUAUAACGGUCCUAAGGUAGCGAAAUUCCUUGUCGGGUAAGUUCCGACCUGCACGAAUGGCGUAAUGAUGGCCAGGCUGUCUCCACCCGAGACUCAGUGAAAUUGAACUCGCUGUGAAGAUGCAGUGUACCCGCGGCAAGACGGAAAGACCCCGUGAACCUUUACUAUAGCUUGACACUGAACAUUGAGCCUUGAUGUGUAGGAUAGGUGGGAGGCUUUGAAGUGUGGACGCCAGUCUGCAUGGAGCCGACCUUGAAAUACCACCCUUUAAUGUUUGAUGUUCUAACGUGGACCCGUAAUCCGGGUUGCGGACAGUGUCUGGUGGGUAGUUUGACUGGGGCGGUCUCCUCCUAAAGAGUAACGGAGGAGCACGAAGGUUGGCUAAUCCUGGUCGGACAUCAGGAGGUUAGUGCAAUGGCAUAAGCCAGCUUGACUGCGAGCGUGACGGCGCGAGCAGGUGCGAAAGCAGGUCAUAGUGAUCCGGUGGUUCUGAAUGGAAGGGCCAUCGCUCAACGGAUAAAAGGUACUCCGGGGAUAACAGGCUGAUACCGCCCAAGAGUUCAUAUCGACGGCGGUGUUUGGCACCUCGAUGUCGGCUCAUCACAUCCUGGGGCUGAAGUAGGUCCCAAGGGUAUGGCUGUUCGCCAUUUAAAGUGGUACGCGAGCUGGGUUUAGAACGUCGUGAGACAGUUCGGUCCCUAUCUGCCGUGGGCGCUGGAGAACUGAGGGGGGCUGCUCCUAGUACGAGAGGACCGGAGUGGACGCAUCACUGGUGUUCGGGUUGUCAUGCCAAUGGCACUGCCCGGUAGCUAAAUGCGGAAGAGAUAAGUGCUGAAAGCAUCUAAGCACGAAACUUGCCCCGAGAUGAGUUCUCCCUGAGACUUAGAGUCUCCUGAAGGAACGUUGAAGACGACGACGUUGAUAGGCCGGGUGUGUAAGCGCAGCGAUGCGUUGAGCUAACCGGUACUAAUGAACCGUGAGGCUUAACCUU